UUUUAUGGAGAGUUUGAUCCUGGCUCAGGAUGAACGCUGGCGGCGUGCCUAAUACAUGCAAGUCGAGCGAACGGACGAGAAGCUUGCUUCUCUGAUGUUAGCGGCGGACGGGUGAGUAACACGUGGAUAACCUACCUAUAAGACUGGGAUAACUUCGGGAAACCGGAGCUAAUACCGGAUAAUAUUUUGAACCGCAUGGUUCAAAAGUGAAAGACGGUCUURCUGUCACUUAUAGAUGGAUCC
rnacentral:rRNA from 1 species